AAACUAGGAUUAGAUACCCUAUUAUUUUUGAUGUUAAUUAUUUAACCUGAGUAGUAAUAGAUAUGUUCUUGAAACUUAAAGAAUUUGGCAGUAUUUUAUUCUGUUUAGAGGAACCUGUUCUUUUAUCGAUAAUCCUCGUUGGACCUUACUUAAUUUAUUGAUUUGUAUACCGCCGUUGUAUUGAGGAUCUUUAUAGUGUUUUAAUUUUCUUAAUUUUAUUUGAAGUUAUUUCAGGUCAAGGUGCAAUUUAUGGUUAAGUAGAAAUGGGUUACGUUUAUAUUUAUUUUUGGAUUGUUAAAUGAAAUUUUAACAUGAAAUUGGAUUUGAAUGUAAUUAUUAUUUUAGAUUGUAUUAAUGAUUUAGUUUCUAGAGUGUGUACACAUCGCCCGUCACUCUCGUUAUUUAUUCGAGAUAAGUCGUAACAUAGUA
rnacentral:rRNA from 1 species